rnacentral:rRNA from 1 species
CACGUAGGGGGCGAGCGUUGUCCGGAUUUAUUGGGCGUAAAGAGCUCGUAGGCGGUUUGGCAAGUCGGGUGUGAAAUUUCGAGGCUCAACCUCGAAACGCCACUCGAUACUGCCAUGACUGGAGUCCGGUAGAGGAGUGCGGAAUUCCUGGUGUAGCGGUGAAAUGCGCAGAUAUCAGGAGGAACACCGGUGGCGAAGGCGGGUCUCUGGGCCGAUACUGACGCUGAGGAGCGAAAGCGUGGGGAGCAAACAGG